CAACCCUUGGAAAAAAAGGACUGAGUGCUGUGGCAGUGUCUGAUGAUUAGCUAACAGAAAAUACAUAGUCGUGUUAGUGUUACUAAACGGUGAUAUUGCUCUAUAAUGCAUAUGGUUAUUUUGUUUACACUCUGAAGACUCUCCUUUAUCGCUGAUAAUGAUAACAAUGAAGCUACCGAUGAAAACUGGCGAGAAAGGAGGCGACGAGACGGCGGAGGACGAUUCGUUGGAUCCAUCCGAGAGGCAGCAUAUCCCCAGGGCGGCAUCUUCUCCUUCGGUGUACGAGAGGCUGCAGGAGCCGCCGAGACCCCGCGUCUACGCAUCGCUUCUGGACAGAGAGAGUGUGUUUGAGUGGUUCGGCCACCAUCUGAACCCCGCCAAGCGGAUCGAGUUUAUGUGCGGGCUACUGCAUAUGUGCCAACCCCUGGAGCUCCGCUUUCUUGGAUCAUACCUGGAGGACCUCGCUAGAAAAGAUUACCACAUUUUACGGGACUUUGAGUGCAGGGCGAACAACCCGAACGAUCUGGGAGUUUUAACGGACGUGGUCGACCCGGUGAUUCGGUCCAAACUCAUCGUCUGCCUGUCGCUGCUCGGUUCUGACAGGAGGGAAUGUGCUGGAAUACUCUCUCGGAUACUCAGCAGCGUGGACUUGGCCUUGUCGUAUAGGAACUAUGACUACUCCCUGCCUCCUUUCAGGGACCCUCAGCAUCACCUCCACCCGUUCUAUCCACCGUGCCAGGACGGUUCUGUGUGUGAGCAGAACCGGGACGAAGCAACGGCAGGGGCUCUGGAGCAGUUGGCGCUGCUCUAUACCAUGGCCUCACUACACCCAGCUUUACAUUUUCACCAACGGGAAGUUAUCCGGGGACAACUGGACAAAAUCGAGCUUUCCUUGGAGGAGGAAAAACGACAGAGGCAGCUCAGGAUAAACGCCCAGUCGACGGAGAUGCUGGGCCAGCAGCUGGACUUCACGCCCUCCUCAGUGCAGGACUUUGGAGAGUGUCCAGCCUCCCAUCCCCCCUGCCAGAGCCGGCGCUCUGGUCGCUGGGCAACACAGAGAGAAGCCGUUCACAUCGAGAGGAUCGUACUCAGGGGGAUCUCUCGGACGGCAACAGAUAAGGAAUACAGCUUUGAGGUGAAGUGGUCAGACUCUUCCUCCAGCAGAGUCACCAAAACCCACCAGGAACUGGAGAACUUUCUGCUGAAGCUUCCAAAGGAUCAGUGCACGGACUCUUUUGAGAAAAGCAUCCUGAGGCUCCUGAGCCAGGGGGACCAGUACGAGAGCAGGGAGGUGGAGAAGAACCUCAGGGAAAGGUUUCUGUCUGCCCCGCCUCCCUUCAGGCAGACCAGGAAGGUCUGCAGCUUCUUCAGCUCCUCCAGACCGGCCUGCAGAUGUACCUUACAUCCUGGGACGACGUACCAGCCAGACUGCUCUGACGCCUCCAGUCAGGAUGAAGACUCGUAUGUUCAGGGACACAAGAAGAAACACGCGUCCAAGAGUCCAUGUCAGCUAUUGUCACGGGCCAAAAGCCCCCAGGGGGACACAUGGAGAGGGGGCCAUGCAGCAGAGUUCAACGGGCCAGCAGACAGAAGGAAGAAGAGCAGCGUGGCGCGGAGCAGCCAGGACACUGAGCAGCACCUGGAUCCUGACAGAAGGAGCCACCCAGCAUCUAAAAGCAAGAGCAGAUUUUUGCCCGGAGACAGGGACAAGGUGACUGUGAAGGGUAGAGGCGCUGCCUUUCUGACUAAUGGCACUUUGUUACCAGCCCUGUCACCUCAGAGGAAAGUCGGACCUUCUCAUGCAGAUACAUUUGGGGAAACGUCGUCCGAGAGCUGCAGCUCUCCCUCCAGCCCCCAGUACAGGAGUCGCCAGAGUCUGGAGAGUGACGACGACAACAAAGACUCGGACAGCCACUCUGAGGACGGCAGUAAGGGCGUGGCCCCUGGCCUGUUCUUCAUGCAGCAGGCAGACUCCGCCAGGUUGGCAGACGGCCCUCCCCAGGGCCCAGACUUCGUCUCAUCCCCUUACCUGCCCCCUCUGGCCUGCUUGCUCCCCAAUGGGGGCCCUGAGCCCGUGGCCCCAGAUGGGAACCCCCAUGCAGCAGGGCCACUGUCGGUGGUCCCCACCCCAGGGAUUGUGGGUGAUCCGGAGAAGAGGGAGGUGCUGACGACCUUCGGGGGCCCCCCACUAGCCAUGCACCACUCAGUGGGUGGGGCGGUCCAGCCUCUGGUCCAGAGGUUUAAGACAGCACUGCCCCACAGCCAAGGGCCCGGUGAGGGGGAGGCCCCUCUCAGAGCGCUGGGGUCAAUGUCACCAGGGCCACCUGUGUACUCACCCCCCUCCCUGCCCUGCCAGGAUCCCAGCCUGGCCCCACCCCUGCCCCACAUAGAGCCACCCCACCCCAAGCUGCAUGGUAUCCUGCCCUCUGGGAUGCCCUCUCCCUACGCCCUGGCCCCUGUGCCCCCCUCUGUUAUGCCUAGCCUAGGGGCCCCUGGAGUGGCGGUUCCUUCGGCCGUCCCCUCUAAUUCCCCCGGGCCCCCGCCCAGCCUCAGCCCGGCGCUCGGCCUCAGCACGCCACAGAACGAUUCCUACAGCAACAGCAGUGCUUCCUGUGGAAGCGGUCCCGUUGCCCCUGGCAACCCCGUAGCUGUCCAGCAAACCCAGCAGCAGAUGCCCCCGCAGCAGCAGAUGCCCCCGCAGCAGCAGAUGCCCCCGCAGCAGCAGAUGCCCCCGCAGCAGCAGACGCCCCCUGUGGGAUGUGGGACCUGCGGUUGCCAUAACAACUGUGGUAACCGAGGCAGCAGCAGUGCGGUGGGCUCCUCUGGCUGCCAGCCGCCCCUUUACUUCCACCACCAGAUGGCAGCAGUAGCGAGGCAAAUGUUCAGUGUUCCUCAGUCUCUCCUCUACCUCGCCCAGACCCAGGCCCCCCACCAGGCCAACGGCCCCCCCACAAUGCCCCCCUUCUUCCCUGCCGCCCCACCCCCUGUCCACCCGUCCCCCUACCUGCACCCCCACAGCCAGGCGGAGGGCCCGUCCCACAUGAUGGGCAGCCAGGCCCCGGUGGCAGUGGCGGCCACCAACUACAGCCUCCAGCAGCAGAUGGCGCCAGCGGCAUCGUUCUCUCAGCGUGUCUUCCAGCCGGUCUACCCGGGUCACCUGGGGAUGCUGCCUGCUGCCGUGCUGGGGGGCGGCGGGGUCAACAAGAAGAACGGCACAGUGUCCUGCCACAACUGUGGAGUGAACGGACACUUUGCUCAGGACUGCAACCAGCCCAGCAUGGACUCCAGCCAGCCGGGAGGCUUCAGGAUAAAGUAUGCAGCAUCCAACAUUUCAGAAGCACCUGAUAAUGUCGACUGAAGACGAAGCACGACGAUGACGAGUUCCUCCUGUCGUCAUGACUACGACAGGCGUUUCAUCUGCCAGAACAGUGGCAGGUUAUUACAGACUUUUUACCUCUGGACGAGAUUUCUGUCAGAAUCCUCACAGCAUGACGACGUCACUGGAAGACGAGAAGCAGCCGCGCGAUCCGAGGAGCCGAAUGUACCGACAGAACGGAGAACUCGCCUCCGGAUGAAACGUCUGCAUGCUGGGCAAGAUCUCUUAAUACGUCGAGUGUUUUUAUUUUUUAAGAAGAGGAGCCUUCUGAUCAAAUUAGCACACUGAGAGGGAACACCAGACUCUUUAGUCCCAGGAUGGAAUCUAAUCUUAACUUCUUGUACUUUAUUUUUUUUUUUCAUAUGUACACCAGUCUUGUUAACUGACACUUGAUUACAUAUUUGUUGAUAAACUUGAAAGUUCUUCAAAGCC